UAUUAUUAAUAUUCCAACUCUGAGGUCCUUCCACUGGACCACAUUAGUCCAACUCUGAGCUCCUUCCACUGGCUGCCUGUUUGUCAGAGGAUAGACUUAACAGUUCUGUUUGCUGGUCUAUAAAACUCUGAAUGGUUUAGGACCAAAAUACAUCAGCUACCUUCUGACCCAGUAUGAACCCCCCAGACCCCUCAGGUCAUCUG